AACCCCGAAGAAGUCAACGAACAACGGCAGGGUUGCACCCUAAUCCAAACAGACUCCCAAAGUCUGUGAUGGCCCAAGAGUGCGCCGCAGAGCAGAACGUAGACCGUCAAACGAUAGACAAUAUGGUACAGACACAACUGUUGUUAGCAAGAAUGUUAACCGGCUUAAAACCCAGCAACAUGUAACUUUGUCAUGGUUGUAAUAAGGUAACGGUAGGACCUAUAUUGUGUAAACUGCUGAGACAGCUAGUUUUUGGCAGGGGAGUGUAAUAGGCGUGCGGUAUUAUUGUCGAGACAGGCUUCCGUAGAACGAAGCUGGGUUACAGAUGCUACGUGUUGUUCCCAUGGUUACACCCUGUACCUAGAAUUUCAUGUUUUUCUUAAAUCUGUAGAAUUACCGAUUAUACUUCAUAGCUAUUAUUUACUAGUAAUAAGUCAUAGCUUAUUGUUGAUUCGCCUUCCUCUGGAAAUAGGUCGUUACGCUGAAAUUGUUGUGACACUGUUUUACCCAUGAUGCUCUGACCAGCGUGUAGGCUGGUGUGCGCCGCCAUAUCUCAAUCACCGAAAGGUCAUUGUUUACUUCAAUCUAUUGAAAAGAUUGUUAACAACACUUGUAAACUGUACUUUUGGAUCGUGUGAGACGCUACUUUCUGAUGUGACCCGCUAGGUGUAGCUGCGCUACAGUAGCAGUAUCGUACCAUUGCUGGGGGUGAGAACCAUGUUAACACUGUUAUGUAUGAUACCUACACCUCCUCUGUAAUUUCAUUUAAUUGAUACCAUUGGUAAUUAAUAAUUAUAGAUAUUGUCUGUAAUUGAAUGAUUAGUAAUUUUUCACCAUUUAUUGUUAGUGUUUGUUAUGAAGAAACAUAGGAAUACAUUUCCUGGAUAUAAACCUGGAUAACUCGGGUGUAACUUUAAGCCGAGUUAAAGUUGUCAUUGAUUUAGCUUGCCUCUUGACAUCUUGAAGUAUUGUAAGAGACAUCUUAAGUGCUGAUCUAGCCUUAUAUGUAUAAGUGCUGUUGUCAUAAGUAUGUAUGAACAAACGCGUGAUACUUUCACUUUUGUUAUAUAUUUUAUAUGACAGUAUUAUCCAUGUUGAAAUUAUGUAUUUCACAGGAUAUUACCGGGAUGUAACGACGCUCCCAUUGAUCACAAUAAAAGGGCAUAUAU